rnacentral:rRNA from 1 species
UACGGAGGGAGCUAGCGUGGUUCGGAAUUACUGGGCGUAAAGCGCACGUAGGCGGCUAUUCAAGUCGGGGGUGAAAGCCCGGGGCUCAACCCCGGAACAGCCCUCGAAACUAGAUAGCUAGAAUCUUAGAGAGGCGAGUGGAAUUCCGAGUGUAGAGGUGAAAUUCGUAGAUAUUCGGAAGAACACCAGUGGCGAAGGCGACUCGCUGGACAAGUAUUGACGCUGAGGUGCGAAAGCGUGGGGAGCAAACAGG